UUAUAAGAGACAGCAGUCGCCGCGGUAAUACGAAGGGUGCAAGCGUUAAUCGGAAUUACUGGGCGUAAAGCGUGCGUAGGCGGUUUGUUAAGUCUGUUGUGAAAUCCCCGGGCUCAACCUGGGAAUGGCAAUGGAUACUGGCAAGCUAGAGUGUGUCAGAGGAUGGUGGAAUUCCCGGUGUAGCGGUGAAAUGCGUAGAGAUCGGGAGGAACAUCAGUGGCGAAGGCGGCCAUCUGGGACAACACUGACGCUGAGGCACGAAAGCGUGGGGAGCAAACAGGAUUAGAUACCCCAGUAGUCCCUGUCUCUUAUAC
rnacentral:rRNA from 1 species